rnacentral:rRNA from 1 species
GAUGAACGCUGGCGGCGUGCCUAAUACAUGCAAGUCGAGCGAACAGACGAGGAGCUUGCUCCUCUGACGUUAGCGGCGGACGGGUGAGUAACACGUGGAUAACCUACCUAUAAGACUGGGAUAACUUCGGGAAACCGGAGCUAAUACCGGAUAAUAUAUUGAACCGCAUGGUUCAAUAGUGAAAGACGGUUUUGCUGUCACUUAUAGAUGGAUCCGCGCCGCAUUAGCUAGUUGGUAAGGUAACGGCUUACCAAGGCAACGAUGCGUAGCCGACCUGAGAGGGCGAUCGGCCACAAUGGAACAGAGACACGGUCCAGACUACUACGGGAGGCAGCAGUAGGGAAUCUGCGGCAAUGGGCGAAAGACUGACGGAGCAACGCCGCGUGAGUGAUGAAUGUCUUCGGAUCGUAAAACUCUGUUAUUAGGGAAGAACAAAUGUGUAAGUAACUAUGCACGUCUUGACGGUACCUAAUCAGAAAGCCACGGCUAACUACGUG